rnacentral:rRNA from 1 species
AUACGGAGGAUGCGAGCGUUAUCCGGAUUUAUUGGGUUUAAAGGGAGCGUAGGUGGGAUAUUAAGUCAGCUGUGAAAGUUUGGGGCUCAACCUUAAAAUUGCAGUUGAUACUGGUUUCCUUGAGUACGGUACAGGUGGGCGGAAUUCGUGGUGUAGCGGUGAAAUGCUUAGAUAUCACGAAGAACUCCGAUCGCGAAGGCAGCUCACCGGGCCGGAACUGACACUGAUGCUCGAAAGUGCGGGUAUCAAACAGGAUUAGAUACCCUGGUAGUCCGCACAGUAAACGAUAAAUACUCGCUGUUUGCGAUACACGGUAAGCGGCCAAGCGAAAGCGUUAAGUAUUCCACCUGGGGAGUACGCCGGCAACGGUGAAACUCAAAUGAAUUGACGGGG